rnacentral:lncRNA from 1 species
UUUGCAGAUGUGAUGAAGUGAAGACAAGAUCAUACUGGAGGGGGGUGGGCCCUCACCCAACGACUGCUGUCUUUGUAAGAAGAGAGGACACAGACACAGGGGGGAGAGGCCACAUGGAGACGGAGCCAGGACUGGAGUGACGAAGCCACCAUCCGAGGAACGCCAAGGACUGCCGGUCACACAAGAAGCCGAGAAAAGGGCACAGAUCAGAUUUUCCCCCACAGGUUUCAGAGGGCAUGUGGCACUGGCACCUUGAAAUGUGACUUCUGGCUUUCUGAACUGUGAAAGAAUUAAUUCGUGUUAUUUCCAGACAGAGGAAGGGAUGGAGGAGGCACCAGAGAGGAAGGAGAGGACAGAUGUAUUUCUGUGCAUGUGGGGCCAGAUUGCAGCUGCAGCCGCUUCGUCUCACCAGAGCCACCACUCCCAAGCUGGGCAGGGAACAACCUAAGAGGUGCCCACAU